rnacentral:rRNA from 1 species
AUUGAACGCUGGCGGCAGGCCUAACACAUGCAAGUCGAACGAGUGGCGGACGGGUGAGUAAUGUCUGGGAAACUGCCUGAUGGAGGGGGAUAACUCCUGGAAACGGUAGCUAAUACCGCAUACCAUCGGAUGUGCCCAGAUGGGAUUAGCUAGUUGGUGUGGUAACGGCUCACCUAGGCGACGAUCCCUAGCUGGUCUGAGCGGAUGACCAGGCACACGGGAACUGAGGCACGGUCCAGACUCCUACGGUAGGCAGCAGUGGGGAAUAUUGCACAAUGGGCGCAAGCCUGAGACAGCCAGGCCGCGUGGAUGAAGAGGGCCUUCGGGUUGUAAAGUACUUUCAGCGGGGAGGCGUUACCCGCAGAAGAAGCACCGGCUAACUCCGUGCCAGCAGCCGCGGUAAUUC